UUUGUGUUUCUGGAGCUUUUACAUUUUCAUACCUGGAAAAUCCACAAGGAUUUCAACAUCAAAAGAACAGCCAAUCUCAAUGUAGGGGAAGCGAUUCAAGACAUACCCAGAAGAUAUCCUUCACGGCCUUCUUCAAAUCAUCUUAACUCAAAUUUGUACUCUUCAGAUAAGUUGAGAUGUAUCCUUCUUAGUAAUUCAUAUAGCACUGAAUCUGUAUCCCGUCCCGCUUGAGUGUUGCAAUCCAAUGUGGUAACCAGUUAGUUCUCCACAUUUCCAAA